GGUCGGUUAUUAACGGAAUUCCUUGUCGGCUUUCCGUGAAAUACUCGUUUGGCCUAGGACUUCCAAACACGUCAUAAGCUAAACCCGUACUGACAAAUAACCAACCCGCAAUGAAUAGGGAAGGUAUAGUAAUGCUAUGAAUAACCCAGUAUCGAAUACUGGUAAUAAUAUCAGCAAAAGAACGUUCUCCCGUGCUUCCAGACAUGCUGAACUCCCAAAAUUUUUGUACAUUCAAAAAAGGAAUUGAUUCCGUAAAAGAUGGGAUCGACCAGUAAAUAGAAAAUUACUGAUAUUUCAUCCUUGUGAGAUUGUCAAUUUUGUACCAAAGGUGUAUUUUGAGUAUACCGAAUUAGUAUAGCUAUCCUUCCUAUGGCACAGCAAUCUGGUUUUGCCUGGUUCCGAAACAUAAUUACUUUUUUUGUCUAUAGGUAAGCUAUAUGUUAUUCAAGGCAUCAAUAGAAAACCCCAUUUUUGUAGGUUCUACUUACUUUUCAUUGGCUUCGGAAUAAUAGAGUAAUUCGGAAUAGCAGCCAAAAUCUUGGGAAAAUCUAAGUUAAUGAUCAAUAGGUUUGGAUAAAUAAUUUAGGAAGGAUAUUCUCAUACUGACACAAUACAAGGACAAGUAUAUGUGAAAUCUAUCCUUUCAUAAUUCGUAAUUCAUCCUUGUAUUGUUUGUUGGAUUAGGUCUAACUUUCUUGACCAAACUGCGAGCGCGGAACUUUACGAGAUGAAAUAGGGAAAGACAGAAGAUAGAAUAGAACUUAAAAGGAUAAUUGAAGUGACUCGUCUUCGAAUCUACUUUGGUUGGAGUUCGAAAAAGGAAUAAAAAUAAAGUAAAUUCAAGGAAGAGCUUUUUUUUUUAACAGCCCCUUGGCAGGUCGUGGAAUGCUUUUGUUCUCCUCUUAUUCCAUAUGGAAUACAAUCAGUUAAAAUAAGAAGGAAUAGGGGAAUAUUCGAUCGUUCACUCCAAAAAGAGGGUCCUAUUGAAAAAGAAAUUAUCCAAAAUAGAAAGAAGUUUUUUUUUUCAAAUUCAAUUGUUUAUUUAUCUCUUAUUCAAAAAUUUCCCUGAAAAUUGAAUGAAAAAAUGAAAUUCAAUGGGGUUAGAUGAUCUAGUUCUUAAUAUUAUUACUUUACUCAAUUGACAAAUUCCACAACAAAUCUCUUGAUUCGGAAUUAGGGACUCAUGUAUCAUCUGAUGAAUCCACUUUCUUUUACACUUCUGUAUCUUACUCUACCUUGUUUUUUAGUAUUAUCUAAAAUAACUGAUGAAUUCUGAAUUUUCCAUAACUUAGGUAAAUGCUUUACCAACAUAUGUAGUGUAGUAAAAAUAAAUAAAUGGAAUUUAACUCUUUCAUGCUUACUUUAACUAGUUAUUUUGGUUUUCUACUGGCUGCUUUAACUAUAACCCCAGCUCUAUUUAUUGGCUUGAACAAGAUACGCCUUAUUUGAAUUGACUGAAUAAUUAUAAUUCAGAAAAGAAAAAUCUUUCUUUGGGAUUCCUGGCAUUCUACGACUCUUUUCCAGACUAAUUAGGAAUUCUUUUCUUGGUCAUUGAGAUUCGUGGAUAAUUUAGAGUACUAUUUAGGGAUAGAUCGUACCUCUUUUUUUAUCCCCUCGAACAAAUCGAAAUGAUUGAAGUUUUUCUAUUUGGAAUCGUCUUAGGCCUAAUUCCUAUUACUUUAGCGGGAUUAUUCGUGACUGCGUAUUUGCAAUACAGGCGUGGGGAUCAGUUGGAUCUUUGAUUGAGUCAUUUUUUUUGAUUGACCUCCUCCAGACCAGAGAGGAGGUCAAAUUGAAAUUGGAGUUACAAUUCAAUUUUGUUAAGUUAUUUUACUCUGCUUCGACAUAANNNNNNNNNNAAAUGAAUUUCUAGGUCCCGGGAUUUCUUACCAUCAAGUUGGUAAAAAGCCUCGAUUUAUUGGCAAUUGCUAGAAUUAUCUAUGAUCUAUUUUGGAAAUCCUUUUUUUGUUUAGACUGCUUUUUGUUUAUGAGAUGUCUGGAAUUCCUUAUUUAUAUCCCAUGCAAAAGAAGAGAAUCCAAGGCAAAGGCGAGAACAAUAAAAUUAAAAUUUCUUCCUUUUCGGAGGGAUUGCAGGUCUUCUUAAUCGUCUAUUCGGCACAAGAAAAAGGCUUUUUCUUGUGCCGAUUCUUCUUGUAUCAAAAUAAGAAUCCUUUUUCUUCCUAAUUCGUCAAAGAUUACUAUUUCUUCUUUAUUCGGGUCUGUCUCUUGGACCUCUUUUUCUUUUGCUUAGGUUUAGCCGAGGUAGUGGACAAACAGAGGGGAAGAAAAUAUGGCGGGGGAAAAAUUUCUUGUGAUUGUGAGCAAAUUGCUUGGCUUGUUUAAUUAAGUUCAACUUCAAAUUUACAGAAAUUUUGCAAAAAAAAGUAAACUCUUCCAUUGAAGGUUUUUUUUUUAUUUUUAGGCUAGUUGAAUAGUUUUGAUUAAGGUUUUAUUAGUUUAUUACUCGAAACUAAAUCAAGGAUUUUCAGGAUACUUCCUUCGUGGAAUAAGAUAUUGGAUCCUCGAGUGAUCUCUUUUUCUUGUUGCUUCAUAAGAGUGAAUCGAAUAGAUUCAAUUCGCGUUAUAAGAGUAAAAAUUCCGCGGGUCCUUUCCGCUCUAAUCAGAUAAAGGGGGGUAAGGACCCGCUAAGCUCCUACUUUUUCAUGUUUACAAUCUAGUCCCUCCGAUUACUAUAGAGAUGAACCCAAUCCAGAAUAUGAACCAUAAAAGAAAACACCUACUAAACCAAUCACAGCAAUACCAGCUACAGUACCUAUCAGCCAAAGAGGAAUUCUUCCAGUAGUAUCGGCCAUUUCCCCUACUUUCCUCCACAUUUUAUCAAUUGGUCAUGCUAGAGACAAAAACAGUCAUGGGUAGUUAUAAGGAUGGUAUCCUUCCAAAUGGGAUAAGAGAAUUCUUAUUAGUCUCUUUCUUUCUCUCAAUUGAAGAAGUAAUUGGAAAAUAAAACAGCAAGUACAAAAAUGAGUAAUAGUAUAGACUGGUACGAUUCAAUUCAACAUUUUGUUCAUUCGGGUUUGAUUGUGUCAUAGUUCUAUAGUUGGAAUUUGUUUUAUCGUUGGAUGAACUGCAUUGCUGAUAUUGAUCCCAAGAAAAAAACAGUAGGUACAGCUAGUCCGUGAAUAGCCAGCCAUCGCACUGUAAAAAUAGGAUAGGUUCGAUCUAUGGUCAUUGAGGGCCUCCUAAAAGGAUCUACUAAAUUCAUCGAGUUGUUCUAAAGAAUCAAAACGGUCGGUUAUUAACGGAAUUCCUUGUCGGCUUUCCGUGAAAUACUCGUUUGGCCUAGGACUUCCAAACACGUCAUAAGCUAAACCCGUACUGACAAAUAACCAACCCGCAAUGAAUAGGGAAGGUAUAGUAAUGCUAUGAAUAACCCAGUAUCGAAUACUGGUAAUAAUAUCAGCAAAAGAACGUUCUCCCGUGCUUCCAGACAUGCUGAACUCCCA
rnacentral:lncRNA from 1 species